GACAGAGGGUGCAAACGUUGUUCGGAAUUACUGGGCGUAAAGCGCGUGUAGGCGGUUAUGCAAGUCGGGUGUGAAAGCCCGGAGCUCAACUCCGGAAGUGCAUUCGAUACUGCGUAGCUAGAGUACUGGAGAGGAUGGUGGAACUCUCGGUGUAGAGGUGAAAUUCGUAGAUAUCGAGAAGAACACCGGUGGCGAAGGCGGCCAUCUGGACAGAUACUGACGCUGAGGCACGAAGGCCAGGGGAGCAAACGGG
rnacentral:rRNA from 1 species